UAAGGAAUAUUGGACAAUGGGCGCAAGCCUGAUCCAGCCAUGCCGCGUGAAGGAUGAAGGCCCUAUGGGUCGUAAACUUCUUUUAUACGGGACAAAACCCCCCGACGUGUCGGGGGUUGAUGGUACUGUAAGAAUAAGGGUCGGCUAACUUCGUGCCAGCAGCCGCGGUAAUACGAAGGACCCAAGCGUUAUCCGGAUUUAUUGGGUUUAAAGGGUGCGUAGGCGGAUUAGUAAGUCAGUGGUGAAAGCC
rnacentral:rRNA from 1 species